GUAUAAUUAAGACCUGUUAUCUUAAAUUUUCUAUUAGUGGAGUCUUCAUUUUCUGGAACCCCCACUGGUAUCUGUUUUUCUGUUUGUGUGUUUUAAUCUUUUUUUUUUUUAUAUUUUUAAGUAAUCUCUAUACCCAACAUGGGGCUUGAACUCAAACCCUAAGAGCAAGAGUUGCAAACUCUACUGACUGAGCCAGCCAAAUGUCCCUUUUGCGUUUCCCUAAUGGUUCUAGAUAAAAUUUUGCAGCUUACAGAGUGGUAGAAAAUAAAUACACAUCAUAAUUUGGUACAGAAAUGUUUUAGCUGCUUCAUUUCAGCAACUUGUCCUCCUUAUACAGGAGUCAGAUGAGCUAGAGUUUAUUUUUUUCAUUUAAAAGUACAGAAAAGCCAGAGCACUUCCCACUCCUGUCCACUGUCUUUCCUCUGAGGUCUGAGGCCAGAGUCGGGGGCUGUGGGGAUGGGGCAGCCUGCCCAGAAUUGUAGCCUCCAUCCCACGGGUUCUAGGCUGUGGCUUCUGCUGUGCCUCCUUUUCCAGCAGCCAUUUUUAAAGGUGUGAUCUUGGAGAAAGAUCUCCCCAUGAGCUCAGGCCACCAUCUUGUGAACCAGAAGCCUGGAGCUGAAUUCCUUGUUUUCAGGACCCAUUUCUUUUUCUGUUUGCAAGGUUGUGUUAAACCUUACCAUGUCUGCCAGGUUGCACCUUUACAAUGAAGACACAGAGGCUUUUGAAUGGAGGGACAAUAGGGUUUACUGGGCGAAGGGAUGGAUGGAAAGAACAGGGUGGAGUAGGGAGUUUCAAGUCAGGGCUUAGGGUCGGAAGCAAAGGUUAGCCAGCCGCCCCUCUGACCUCUUGCCCAGGCGGCCUUGGGCCCCUUGGGAAGAGCUAUUAACCUAGAGGGCACUUCCCUGGGAGCAGACUGGAGCUGGUUGAGCUGUGGGUCACAAGUUUCCGAGUCCAGAGUGGCUUUGGGGCCUGGCCUGAGUAACUUAAGCUCGAAAAUCAUUAACGAGCUGAUGAGAAACACGGAAAACCUCUCUUGCUGUUGCUGGUGGAGCCGAGAGAGCCAGCAGGCUCUCCAGAGGGAGGAGCCAAGGAUGAGGGGUGGGGGCGAAGGCUUGAGCUUGAGGGGUGGUCGAGCUUUCCCACUUUCCCCUCCAUGAAGUCCUAGGGUAGGCAUGUGUCACAUUGGUGCGUGUGUCCCUGUUGUCCGUAGCUACGCUGACAUCCCUGCUUGGGUCGCUGUGCGCCUGAGGUCUAGUGGCUGGUCUGGGUCUUCCAGAAGCCUCUCUUGCUCAUAGCUGGGUGGCUGCCCUAUCAGCGCCCUGAGAAGGGCCGCCAGCUGUUCCUUGGUGACUGAGCCCAGACUCUGUGCUGGUCAGAUCCGCGUAUGCAUUACUGAUGCGUGUGUGUGCACACACACCCCUGUCCUCGCUGCUGUAUCUGGCCGGCCUGAGCACAGCCCUGAAAAGUCUCAGCUCAGUGGAUGUGGUGACUCGUGCUCUGAGAUGUCGUGCGACACUUGUUCAGGCUCUGUGGAUGAAACUAACUGGUCAGGGACAAAAUUGCCCUGGUUAGCGGGGUGGGGGAGGUGCACACCCUAGGCCCACCUCUUCUGGGGAGGGGAGCAGUGCUGGUAGCUGACAUCUGACAAGGACCCCAGAACCGGGGCUCGUGGAGUUGGUCUUCAUGCCACUGCCUCAUGUGCUGUUUCUCCCCUCGAUUUCCUUGCUCUAUGUGUUAUACCAUCAGUCAGGCAGGGAGCUAGCAGGGAGCCAAAAGCCUUUUAACCAUGAGAAGUUUUCAAACCUUCAUCAAGGAUAGAACAAUAUAACUAACUCCGGUAUCCCAUCACCCGGCUCCCACCAUGACCAACAUAACACCUGUUCUCGUAGGGGUCAGGGGACUGCGGGCCAUAUCCUGCUCACUGCCAGCUUGUGUGACGUCUCUGAACCCAAGUGAACUGUUAAUCCGGCAUCCCCUGUCCCAAUUCCAUUCUUCUCAUUAGUAGACCUGUAUUACAAAGGAAAGUAUUCAGUUACUAUAUCUUGAAUUCCAUCAACAAAAAGUCAUGGAAAUUCCGUUUUCUCUUCUGACAUAAUACUGAUUUGCCUCUUGGUCCUCAAUGCUGAAAAUAGAUAGUAGCCAGGCCUUUCCAGAAAAUCUUGGCCAACCACUGAGGUCAAGCAAGGGGUCACCUUCUUGCUGGGGCAGUCUGGUCCUUAUGGGCCCCCCGCUUCUCCACUCCAGGUGACAGAGUGCUGUAUCCAGCCUUCGGUUGGUAACAACGCCAAUGCUAACAGCCAUGGCAGAUGCUGGCUGGCCUCCCCUGUGUCAGGCUUGGAGCUCAGCGCUUCUGCCAUUGUCCCUUUCCAUCCUCCCCACUGUGUUGAGGCUACCGUGGCCCAGUGUUCCACAUGAGGAAGUCAAAACAGAAAUCAGAUGCCAGCCAGGGGUCCUCCAACCAUUAGUGCAUCAAGUCAGGAUGAGAAUCGGGGUAUCUGGGUCUGGGUUCCACAUUGACACGGUGCACUCUCGUAUGCCACAUUUGGGGAGCAAGCUCCUUAUGCAGUGCUGCCUUUCAUCCUGUGAUGCUAUCCCUGGGCUUGGUGGCGCCAUAGUCGGGAAACAUUUUGGGGGCUUGGUUGUUGAAGACCAGAGAAGGGGAGGCGCCUGGUGGUUCAGUCGGUUAAGCGUCUGACUCUUGAUUUCAGCUCAUGUUACAAUCUCAGGGUCUUGAUGGGCCCCUUGCGUCAGGCUUUGUGCUCCCUGGGGAGUCUGCUUGUCCAGCUCCCUCUGCUCCCUCCCCCUACUCAUGUGCUCUCAAAUAAAUACAUCCUGGGGGGAAAGAAAAGGUUGGGGGAUUGUUUGUGUGCCUCUACCCUCAGCCUUCUCCUCGCCGGCUAAAAAGUUGCUGACUGUGUCCUCCAGUGUUCCUGUAUGUAAUGUGAUUCUUUCCUAACGUGUAACUUCCCGAGCUUUCUCCAGAUUGGGUGACUCUUUCGUGAAGGUGGUGGGAGUCUGCUGGGUGUUGUGGGCCUUGGACGGGUCAAGAGGUUGUGCUGGGUCAUGGGAGGUGGGCGUUGGGACAGAAGUCACACUGCCACAUUGUUUUUGUACCUGAAAUACAGCAUAUUUUGCACUUGUUACUGUACCGUUGUGCAGAUGAGAAAUCUGUAUGUGGGAUCGGGGCUUGGGUCAGAAUGCAAAUAAAACUCAUUUGUAAGAAA